CCCGGGCCUUGUACACACCGCCCGUCACACCAUGGGUGUUUGCUGCACCAGAAGCAGGUAGCCUAACCGUAAGGGGCCUUCGGCGAAGGUGGGGUUGGUGACUGGGGUG
rnacentral:rRNA from 1 species